ACUACAUCAGGAUGUAGUGAAGAAAUGUGCAUUUCUUAUAUAGUUUGAAGAGUCUUAUUAUGAGACUACCAGUGUCUUAAUAUGCCUACCAGCAUAUCUUGGGGGCUAUUGUUUACUUUAAGAUUAUACUACUAGUCACAGAGACAGGAAGUUCUUUGUUCUCCUCCACCUAUGUUCUGGGAGAAGCAAACCCCAGUCAUUCUGAAUGUCGAAGUGAUGCAGUAAGGUCCGAGUUACAUAACAUUGCAGCAGAAAGUUUUUAGUUAUUUUGUGGAACAAACUACAGGCCCAAUUCGAUUGUUAUCUGAAGGUUUACCGGAGAUAGUAAUUAACCUGAAGGUUUUACCGAAGAUAUGAAAGUGAAGUUACGAGUUGCUGAAUAAAACAGAAGUUGGUUGGACUUUA